rnacentral:lncRNA from 13 species
UAAAGUGAGCUAGAGAAAACAAAAUUUUAUUAAGACAAUCAUAAGGAAAAUAAAAUAGAUUUACUAAGUCUUUAUUCUUGUUAUCUUCACACUGAGUGAGCUGAGGAGAAAGAAGAGGAGGAGUUCGUAUUCCUGUCUAAGGGGAGGCAGAGGCAGAAGAAAAGUCAGCUUCAGCCUUGACAUGAAAAUAACAUGAAUGCCAUCACUCUUGUACUUGAAAGAAAAACCGGGACAAAUAAAAGGUCUGACAGAGAGAGAGAAAGUAUGACCAGAGUAAAACAUGCCCAGACAUUUCCAUAACAAAGGCCAAUUCUCCAAGGUGAAGAAGUUUUCGAGUCGUAUGCCCAUUGGAAGAAGGGCAUAUCAACAACGUCUAGGGCUUCCAGUGCCACGAAGCCAAUAUGCUAAACCAAAAGGGAGCAUUAAGCAGUGCAGACGCUAUUAGAUGGGCUUGGAAUUAAGAAGCAGGGAUUUGGCUCACAAAUCAACUUCUCAGCCCAUGAGGACCAGGUAGUAACAGAUAUUGGGCAUCUUUAAUAAAGAGGUUAAGCACUAAAAGUAAGGAGAGAAA